AUACAUUUCAACUUUCUAGUUACAUUGGGAAUAAAGUAACCUUAAUCAGGACAAUACAUUAAAUGGAUUUGUGGAACCUGGAGUUAGAAUAGGAGCUUGCUCCGUCCACUCCGUGCAUUGAUCUGGUAUUGCAGUACCUCCAGGAAUGGUGCAUCCCUU
ensembl:snRNA U2 U2 spliceosomal RNA